ACUUUGUGUUUGAGAGGGUUCUCAACUACGAUUACAUACCAGGAAGAAAAAAAAAGGAAGAACACUGCGUGCAAAGGGAUUUAACGGUACUUUGAUUCUAUUGAAAAUGACAGGAUAAAAGGUAUAGGUAGUGUGAAAGCUCCACACCCACCCCCUC